GGAUUUUUUGGGGAAAAAUAGCAAUAGGCAAACAUCCCUGCUGCUCUUUUUCUUUCUUCUUGUUACUUAAAAAAAAUAAAGUUCUAAUUCCAUCAGCGAGAAAUCGAUUCAAUCAGAAUAUCAAUCUGGGUUGUUUCUUCUUGAAACUCUCUCUGGUCGUAUGAAUUUGUUCUAUUAUGUCUUCGUUGGCUUGUGUUAUGUGCCAUUUGUUUCAUCGGCAAGUUUUCGAAACGAUUCCAUCUGGAAGCUUUGAGAUCAAUUCCAUCGGCACACUAAUCUGGGGAUUCGAUGUACUUAGGGCUGAUCUUGUCUCCCAAAAACUUGUGGGGCCUGAGCUCGGAGACUCACUUCCACUAGUGAUAUUAGGUACGCUUUUCCUACUACUUUCAUUUUGAUAUAUAAUGAUUGUGGUUGAUUAAUUAUCCUCCUUUAGCCUUUAAAUUACGUAGGACUCUUACUGCUAUAUAGAUUUUCUUGGAAUGUUUCCCUUUCCAAACAAUACCAUGACUCCCUUCUCCUAAGUUUUUACUAAAAUCCUUUAUUUUCUUAAUAUUAGCAUAAGAAUAUCUAGUUGUUCUUAUGACCUUGUAGUCUUCCAAUAACUUUCAUGUCUAACUUGACCCUCUCCUCUUUAUUUUUACUUUUGUCAAAUUAAACUGAUAAAUUGAGAGAAUAAUAGUGGAAACUAGAAAUGUACCUAAAUUGAAUAAGAAAAUGUCUUAAGUAUGAAGGAAAAUCAAAUAGGAAAUGGAUAGAGUAAGAACUUCGAAAAAGUUGAGAUAUUGAGAAAACUGACCUGCAAUCAAGGGCUGCUUAGUAAUAUCUUUUGUGCACAAAUUUAUAGUUUAUGUGAAGUGUUUUGUUAUCCAUUACAAUGAUGGAAAAAGAAAAAAAAAAUGUAAGACAUAUAAUAAGACAAUUGUUUGAUUCUAUCGAAACUACAAUCCAAUCUUUUGAACUCAUAUAGAAAGUCUGUCAUAGUGAUCUAUAUUUAUAUACAGAUUAAGAUUAACUAUACUGUAUUUUGGUCUUUACCUCUGUAACACUUUUCUCCUUGUACAGCUAAAUAGAUAUUAUGUACUGCCUUUUGUGUCUUCGCUUUCUAGGAAACAUCUUGACAACAGGAUAUAACAGGGUAUGUCUAAUCUAACCUACCUUCUUCGAUCGAUGCGAGUAGUGCACGGGUUAUGUGAGGCCAAAUUCUUCCACAUUCCUCUGGUUCAACUUAUGUCUGAUUCUUGAAAAGGAAAAUGCGGGUGAUGUAAUUUGAUAUGGUGGCCAUAACUCAAUUUUAUCUAUUAGAGUGACCAUUGAAGACUUUUUGAACAAUUGUGAUCCUUGAAUAUAUUCCACUUUGUACAGUUUAUUGUCAGUGCACAUUUUGAAAUAUUGCUUUAUUAGGUGUAAUACAAGAAAUAUUUGUUUUUCAA